UACGUAGGGGGCGAGCGUUGUCCGAAGUUACUGGGCGUAAAGCGCGCGUAGGCGGGUUGGCAAGUCUGCUGUGAAAGCCCGGGGCUUAACUCCGGAGGGUCGGUGGAUACUGCCAGUCUUGAAGGUGCUAGGGAGAGAUGGAAUUACCGGUGUAGCGGUGAAAUGCGUAGAUAUCGUAAGGAAGACCAGUGGCGAAGGCGAGUCUCUGGGCCGAUAUUGACGCUGAGGAGCGAAAGCGUGGGGAGCGAACAGG
rnacentral:rRNA from 1 species